GAGUUUGAUCCUGGCUCAGAACGAACGCUGGCGGCGUGCUUAACACAUGCAAGUCGUACGAGAAAGUCCCCGCAAGGGGGCGAGUAAAGUGGCAGACGGGUGAGUAAUACAUGAGCAACCUGCCCUCAAGACCGGGAUAACACCUAGAAAUGGGUGCUAAUACCGGAUAAGACCACGUUUCGCAUGGAAUGUGGUAAAAACUGGCCUCUACACGUAAGCUGGUACUUGAGGAUGGGCUCAUGCGGCAUUAGCUAGUUGGUAGGGUAACGGCCUACCAAGGCUAUGAUGUCUAGCCGGCCUGAGAGGGCGAUCGGCCACACUGGAAUUGAGAUACGGUCCAGACUCCUACGGGAGGCAGCAGUGGGGAAUAUUGCGCAAUGGGAGAAAUCCUGACGCAGCAACGCCGCGUGGAGGAUGAAGGUCUUCGGAUUGUAAACUCCUGUCAGAGGGAAAGAAACGUUUCAUGGUAAACAGCCAUGGAGCCUGACGGUACCCUCGGAGGAAGCCCCGGCUAACUACGUGCCAGCAGCCGCGGUAAUACGUAGGGGGCGAGCGUUGUUCGGAAUUACUGGGCGUAAAGGGCGUGUAGGCGGCCCGGCAAGUUGGAUGUGCAAGCCUGCGGCUUAACCGCAGAAUUGCAUCCAAAACUGCCAGGCUAGAGUACGGGAGAGGAGAGUGGAAUUCCCAGUGUAGCGGUGAAAUGCGUAGAUAUUGGGAGGAACACCGGUGGCGAAGGCGGCUCUCUGGAACGAUACUGACGCUAAGGCGCGAAAGCUGGGGGAGCAAACGGGAUUAGAUACCCCGGUAGUCCCAGCCGUAAACGAUGGGCACUAGGUGUGAGAGGAUAUCGAUCCCUCUCGUGCCGGAGCUAACGCAGUAAGUGCCCCGCCUGGGGAGUACGGUCGCAAGACUGAAACUCAAAGGAAUUGACG
rnacentral:rRNA from 1 species